rnacentral:rRNA from 1 species
UACGGAGGGAGCUAGCGUUGUUCGGAUAUACUGGGCGUAAAGCGCACGUAGGCGGCGCCGUAAGUCAGGGGUGAAAUCCCGGAGCUCAACUCCGGAACUGCCCUUGAAACUGCAGUGCUAGAAUCUUGGAGAGGCGAGUGGAAUUCCGAGUGUAGAGGUGAAAUUCGUAGAUAUUCGGAAGAACACCAGUGGCGAAGGCGACUCGGUGGACAAGUAUUGACGCUGAGGUGCGAAAGCGUGGGGAGCAAACAGG